AUUGAACGCUGGCGGCAUGCCUUACACAUGCAAGUCGAACGGCAGCACGGGUGCUUGCACCUGGUGGCGAGUGGCGAACGGGUGAGUAAUAUAUCGGAACAUACCCUAGAGUGGGGGAUAACGUAGCGAAAGUUACGCUAAUACCGCAUACGAACUAAGGUUGAAAGUGGGGGAUCGCAAGACCUCAUGCUCAUGGAGUGGCCGAUAUCUGAUUAGCUAGUUGGUGAGGUAAAGGCUCACCAAGGCGACGAUCAGUAGCUGGUUUGAGAGAACGACCAGCCACACUGGAACUGAGACACGGUCCAGACUCCUACGGGAGGCAGCAGUGGGGAAUUUUGGGACAAUGGGGGCAACCCUGAUCCAGCAAUGCCGCGUGAGUGAAGAAGGCCCUCGGGUUGUAAAGCUCUUUUGUCCGGAAAGAAAGCAAUCGGUUAAUACCCGGUUGUUCUGACGGUACCGGAAGAAUAAGCACCGGCUAACUUCGUGCCAGCAGCCGAC
rnacentral:rRNA from 1 species